rnacentral:rRNA from 1 species
AAUGAACGCUGGCGGCAGGCCUAACACAUGCAAGUCGAACGGAUCCUUCGGGAUUAGUGGCGGACGGGUGAGUAACGCGUGGGAACAUACCCUUUGGUACGGAAUAGCCUCGGGAAACUGGGAGUAAUACCGUAUGUGGUCGAGAGACGAAAGAUUUAUCGCCAAAGGAUUGGCCCGCGUUGGAUUAGGUAGUCGGUGGGGUAAUGGCCUACCAAGCCGACGAUCCAUAGCUGGUUUGAGAGGAUGAUCAGCCACACUGGAACUGAGACACGGCCCAGCCUCCUACGGGAGGCAGCAGUUGGGAAUCUUAGACAAUGGGGGAAACCCUGAUCUAGCCAUGCCGCGUGAUCAAUGAAGGCCUUAGAGUUGUAAAGAUCUUUCAGGUGGGAAGAUAAUGACUGUACCACCAGAAGAAGCCCCGGCUAACUCCGUGCCAGCCGCCGCCGUAAGAC